rnacentral:tmRNA from 1 species
GGGGGCGAUUUGGCUUCGACGGGAGUAGGGAGACCAAGGUUGCAUGCACGGGACGCCGUUGGCCCGUCAAAAAACGGCAAAUACAUAAUCGCCAACGAUUAUGAGUAUGCUGUAGCGGCUUAAACCCCGUUACCGUCUGUUCCUCUCUUCUGCCUGUAAGAUGGAACAAGACGUCAUUCUACAGGCUGGCCGGGCUUUAAUGCCUUGGGAAAGACCGGCGAGAUUCCUCAAGGCUGGCUUUUGAAAUAUCCCGCCCGUGGGAGCUUUCUUGAGCGAGAUUUAGUACGCGGGAUAAGCAUGUAGAUGCCUUGCGUUGAAGACUUUCGGACGGGGGUUCGAUUCCCCCCGCCUCCACUC